rnacentral:rRNA from 1 species
GGAUGAACGCUGGCGGCGUGCCUAAUACAUGCAAGUCGAGCGAACAGACGAGGAGCUUGCUCCUCUGACGUUAGCGGCGGACGGGUGAGUAACACGUGGAUAACCUACCUAUAAGACUGGGAUAACUUCGGGAAACCGGAGCUAAUACCGGAUAAUAUAUUGAACCGCAUGGUUCAAUAGUGAAAGACGGUUUUGCCGUCACUUAUAGAUGGAUCCGCGCCGCAUUAGCUAGUUGGUAAGGUAACGGCUUACCAAGGCAACGAUGCGUAGCCGACCUGAGAGGGUGAUCGGCCACACUGGAACUGAGACACGGUCCAGACUCCUACGGGAGGCAGCAGUAGGGAAUCUUCCGCAAUGGGCGAAAGCCUGACGGAGCAACGCCGCGUGAGUGAUGAAGGUCUUCGGAUCGUAAAACUCUGUUAUUAGGGAAGAACAAAUGUGUAAGUAACUAUGCACGUCUUGACGGUACCUAAUCAGAAAGCCACGGCUAACUACGUG